CUUAUUUUAGAAUUGAAUGAAGUUUUAUCUCCAUGGUAGUAAUUAUGAUUUACUGAGCACUUAUAGAGCAGGAGCAUUCCAUUUGAUUUUCUACAUAUGAAAAACAGAUAUAUUUACUACAUAUGAAGAAUGAUCAGCACCAGGUCAACGCUGAGUCCUGAAAUAACAACUGGAAAGAAAUGAUGGAAAGAAUUAGUCUCCACUCAGAAAUGGCCUGCAAUGUUUGUGUCAUCCUUCACAUUUACUCCGACUAAAUUGCUAAAGAGGAAGAACAUUCAUUUUCCUGCCAACAAUAGCUUUGGGCGGUAUUUUCAUCCUUGUGCGACUUGCCAGUGUUGUGGACUCCGGCAGUGAGUUGAGCUCUUGGCUGUCUCCAUGAAGCUAUGCUCAGGCUGCCUAUUCCCUGAUGAGAGACAAUCCUGACCCUGACUAAGUCACACUAGCUAUGCCACCAAAGGCAUACUCAGGAACAGGUGACUAAACCUGACUGCAAACCCACCUUCCUGUCCCUGCCACACAGACAUCUGCAAGAAGAGGCCAAGUCAACCAGAUGUAGCUCAGGUCAAUUGACCCUUUUUGCUUGUGACCAAGACUGAUGGUUGUGUGUAAUCCCACAUGACUGUGGCAUUAUCAAAGUUUUAUGUUCUUAUCUUGUUGUGAAACCUCCUCCCACUUCCACAUGAGUGUAGGUGGCGAUCUCCAAAUAAGGAUCAAGUGGAUCUGGAUAAAGUUAUGAUUCUUCUUUUAAAUUAAGAAGAAGUCUACUAGCCCAUUUCUACACUUAGAUUUACUUUAAAUGAUAAUUUACUGAAUAUCAACAAUGUUUUGGUAAUGCUACCAGGAAUUGCACUUACAAAUAAGCCCUUCCAACACCAAGUUGAAUGCUUGAGAAAGCAAAAUACAUAGCAGUAAUGAACUGAAACCCUAAGUGUAAAUAAAUAUCCAUGACUCCUUCCCAAUACUAAAUGAUUAAGACUUAAAAUGGAGAACUGAUAGAUCUUCCACACGAAAAACACUCUAACAGAUGAUCUACCUACAAAGAGGCAGCAUAUAAAUACUGAAACCUCACCCAUUGGAAAGAACAGCUUUUGGGACCGGAGGUGUGGGAUUUGCAUACAAUCACCAUAUAUGUAUGCUUUGUGUGGUGACUUCAUUCCAAAAAGUACAUGAAAAUCAUGGAAGAAAAGAGUAACUGGAGAACUUUGACAACCACUGAUUUUCCAAGUGAUCUAAGUUAGUAUCAACCAUAAUAAGAGACACAAAGACUGGGAGAUUAGGUACACUGGGUAUAAUAUGUUAAGAAUACCAUUUUAGCCUGCAUGGUUUUCCUGCACUAGCAUUACUCCAAGCGAAAUAUCACCACUAGACAAAUUCACAACAAAAGAAUAUUAUUCCAAACAUCUGUCCAGUGCCCCUCAAAAUGACAAAAAUGACAAAAAAAAAAAAAAAAUCUGAGCAAGUCUUAUAUCUAAACAGAAGCUAAUGUGACAAGAUCAACAAAUGAGACAAGGAAUUAAAUGUCCUCUAGAAAGAUGGUCUCUUUUGAAAUUAAGAAAAUGUGAAUAAGUAUGAAUUUCAUCAAUACUAAUUAAUUAAUGAAAAUAUUAGUUCGUUAAUAUAGUGCGUAAGUAUUGCACAUAAAUUAUAAUAAAUGUACCAUAAAAAUUAUGCUGGUGAUAUGAGAAACUCGCUAUGGACAAAGAAAUAUGGUCUUACUGUGUAAAUCCACAAAAUAUACUGAAGUUAAUUUUUUGUCUAAAAAUAUAUUGUCCAAAGGGGCUGGGGCUCAUGGAGUAUGGUGCAUGCACACAAAAAACUUAAAUUUGUAUCCCCAAUAUCCAAGUAGAAGCUGGGCAUGGUAGAACACAUCUGUAGUCUCAGCUAAACUGAGGAAGUGGAGGAGAUGAUAGAGACAGUCAGAUUUCCAAAAUUCAUUGGCCUACCAGUUAAACCAAGCCACAGAGUUCCAGAUAGUAGUGAAAAAUUCUGCCUCAAAAAGUAAGGUGGGGAGCGAUAGAGGAAAGAAUACAAUAUUGACCCUUAGUCUCCACGCACACACUCAUACUUGUUCAAACACACAUCUGUGUACACAUAUGCACACACACAUAUAAAGAAAUAAAAAAAAACUAUAGUGUUUAUGAAACUAUGUACAAUAAAUUAUGUACUUUUAUAGUCACUAACCUCUGUAGAUUCAAGGUUUUGAAGGGCUGAUUACACUCGACUAAUUUUUUUAUGUGCUGUUGAUUUCUUGAUUUCUUGUUUAUCAUCACUUCCAUUGUCAAGCAAGUUCUUUUGGAGUUUCCAGUGUCAUUUUAAAAAUUUCAAAGUUUGAUUUACCAAACAGUGCCAAUGCAGAAAUGAAUUUAGCAGACAACUAAUUACUACAUGUAAAUAAAAUAAUAUUCCAGUUUAAAACAUAAUAUAAAUUUCAUGGAUGAAAUCAGUUUAAUUCUAUGAUGCAUUUAAAUGAAUAGAAUCCAUUCCAUUUUUGAAAUAACAUGCAAAUUGCAUCAUCAAUUGGCUUUUGCAAACAGUUUCUAAAAUUAUUAUUGAAUAUCACUUCUUGUCACACUCUCUCUGGAGAAGAUUAAUGGUAUGAUCACAGAGACACCAGCUGUUUCAAUACUGCUUUGUAUUUAUAGUGCUAGCUUAAUAGUACAGAUCUGCUUACUAGCUAUAACCUCUUGCAACCAAGAACCUUUCAUGGAGAUUCUUGCAUGUGGAUUAUUAUUAUUUUAAUACUAUGCCAUUAUUUGUAGUAUUUAAUAUUAUAGGAAAAAUUCUCAGCAUGGCCACAAAACAGCUGUCGGCUCACAUUUCAGUAGCUUUCAGACAACCUAGGGCAUCCACAGAGCAUUGGUAAACAUAUCUGAAUGAUAACUGAAACAGGUGUAGAUGACAUUUAAUAAAACAAUUCUCUAAUUUUUUGACCACUCUUUGUUUGGUUUCCUGGGACUCUGUUUGACAGUGAACUCCAGUGUAUUUGCUUCAGGGAAAUUCUUAGAUUGUGAGAGUCUACUGACAUGGCAACCAAAAGACAGGUCACAGAAACUGUGGCUAAACCUAAUGUUAAUUUCUAAGAGGAUAAAUAGAAUUUUGUGGUAGAAUUAGGAUUAUCAGCAGCAAAAACUUGAGAUUCUGUGUAUUAAGUUCAGACAAUUUCUGUUUGCAGAGUCUAACCAUAGGUUAUGAUGGAUCACAUUUAGUUUGGGAUUUGUCUAAUUCAUAUAAGUGCCAAUGUAAAUUUGCUGAUGAUUUUUCCUUUGCAUUUGUGUACCUUAAGUGAAGAAAUA